rnacentral:piRNA from 1 species
UAGCAGCAGCCGGUGAUUCCAGCACG